GGGGACGUAGCUCAGUUGGGAGAGCGUCUGGUUUGCAACCAGAAGGUCGGCGGUUCGAAUCCGCUCGUCUCCA
rnacentral:tRNA from 1 species